rnacentral:misc_RNA from 1 species
UACGGAGGAUCCAAGCGUUAUCCGGAAUUACUGGGCGUAAAGAGUUGCGUAGGUGGCAUUGUAAGUCGGUAGUGAAAGCGUGGGGCUCAACCUCAUAUCCAUUACUGAAACUGCAAAGCUAGAGGACGAGAGAGGUCGCUGGAAUUGCUAGUGUAGGAGUGAAAUCCGUAGAUAUUAGCAGGAACACCGAUGGCGUAGGCAGGCGACUGGCUCGUUCCUGACACUGAGGCACGAAAGCGUGGGGAGCGAACUGG